rnacentral:rRNA from 1 species
UACGGAGGGUGCGAGCGUUAUUCGGAAUAACUGGGCGUAAAGGGCACGCAGGCGGGCUUUUAAGUGAGAUGUGAAAUCCCCGGGCUUAACCUGGGAAUAGCAUUUCAGACUGGGAGUCUAGAGUACUUUAGGGAGGAGUAGAAUUCCACGUGUAGCGGUGAAAUGCGUAGAGAUGUGGAGGAAUACCGAAGGCGAAGGCGGCUCCUUAGGAAUGUACUGACGCUGAUGUGCGAAAGCGUGGGGAGCAAACAGG